GACGGUCUUGCUGUCACUUAUAGAUGGAUCCGCGCUGCAUUAGCUAGUUGGUAAGGUAACGGCUUACCAAGGCAACGAUGCAUAGCCGACCUGAGAGGGUGAUCGGCCACACUGGAACUGAGACACGGUCCAGACUCCUACGGGAGGCAGCAGUAGGGAAUCUUCCGCAAUGGGCGAAAGCCUGACGGAGCAACGCCGCGUGAGUGAUGAAGGUCUUCGGAUCGUAAAACUCUGUUAUUAGGGAAGAACAUAUGUGUAAGUAACUGUGCACAUCUUGACGGUACCUAAUCAGAAAGCCACGGCUAACUACGUGCCAGCAGCCGCGGUAAUACGUAGGUGGCAAGCGUUAUCCGGAAUUAUUGGGCGUAAAGCGCGCGUAGGCGGUUUUUUAAGUCUGAUGUGAAAGCCCACGGCUCAACCGUGGAGGGUCAUUGGAAACUGGAAAACUUGAGUGCAGAAGAGGAAAGUGGAAUUCCAUGUGUAGCGGUGAAAUGCGCAGAGAUAUGGAGGAACACCAG
rnacentral:rRNA from 1 species